rnacentral:rRNA from 1 species
GACGAACGCUGGCGGCGUGCUUAACACAUGCAAGUCGAACGGAAAGGCCCUGCUUUUGUGGGGUGCUCGAGUGGCGAACGGGGGAGUAACACGUGAGUAACCUGCCCUUGACUUUGGGAUAACUUCAGGAAACUGGGGCUAAUACCGGAUAGGAGCUCCUGCUGCAUGGGGGGGGUUGGAAAGUUUCGGCGGUUGGGGAUGGACUCGCGGCUUAUCAGCUUGUUGGUGGGGUAGUGGCUUACCAAGGCUUUGACGGGUAGCCGGCCUGAGAGGGUGACCGGCCACAUUGGGACUGCGGUACGGCCCAGACUCCUACGGGAGGCAGCAGUGGGGAAUAUUGCACAAUGGGCGGAAGCCUGAUGCAGCAACGCCGCGUGCGGGAUGACGGCCUUCGGGGUGUAAACCGCUUUCGCCUGUGACGAAGCGUGAGUGACGGUACUGGGUAAAGAAGCACCGGCUAACUACGUG